CCAGACUUGGAACACUCAGGAACGCAGACAGACGUAGGAAUUGCUUAAAAACAAGAAGUUCUCCCACCCUUGUUGGAGCGAACGCGCGAGUCUAACAUUGAACCUUUUGGGAAAGAGCCAGCAUUGUAACCGUGCUCGAUGACUUCUCUGGCUUUAUAGGGAACAGAUGUGAUGAUAGCAAGGGGCACACAUGUGAAAUGCCUGGCAGGUACCCCUUCGUGGCUCUACUUACUUCUUGCCAUUCCUCUGCCCUCCAAGUGUAGAGGGGACACCGUGGGCCUUGGCAGUCGCGUUCCGACUCCGGUCUGGUGUACGGGUUGCACUCGGUCUCUCUGGCUAUUUUAUGUGUUCCGAUCUGACAGCCCACAUGCCUCUGCUGUACGCCUCGGCCACAGGACACAGAGCACUAAGAAGACAGAGGACAUUCACGGUCUGGUGAGACAAGUUUGAGACCUCGUAUUUUCAGCUCAUCCUUGAAAACCUUGCUUGGAUUUGACUGACCUUGAUGGCUCCCUGGAAUCUCACCUACAUUUUAUGGAAAAUUCAAAUCUCCAGAGAGAAGAGCUUUCAGAGAGCUACAGGGCUUGCAACUAUGACUUUCAACUUUCACUUUUGAAUGAGGCUCCAAAUGUCUCAAUGGUGGCACUAUUUCCAGAUUUGGGAGCCCUGCAAAGCUAAUCUGCUCAACCUUCACCUACUGGGUUCAAUGAAUAUGAAAAGCUGCCUUCCUGAAACUUUUCCUUCAAAGAGGGAAUGAUCUCUUGGAAUUCAAGCUUCUACAAGGUGGCUACCUGGUGUUUUCCACUUUUGCCUUCUCCUAAAAAGCAUCAAUCAAGCCUUGCCCUUUCAACCCACUGAACACAUAAACAUGCUUUCUCCUUAACUGAACUUAUGGCCACGAUGAACUUGAACUCUGAGAUGCACAAGAGGAGAGUUUGUUUUAACAGCUGCUUUUACAAUGAAGCCCUGGAGUUACUACGCUCAAGACCCCUGGUUCUGAUAGGCCGUCUUUUCACUGUCCUCUGCAUUUUCAAAUGCCCAGCUGUCAGGGAACACCCACUGAAGUUUUCCAAAACAAAGGCAUGAAACACAAGAAAGGCAAGAGAAUGCUAAUCACUGGAUACAUGAGCAUCUUAUGGGGGGACCCCUUACAUAUGGAAUAGGGUUUUCUCCCCAAUUUAUUUUUAUAAAUUUAUUGAUUUCUUUGCUAGUUUAUUAUUAAUUGUUAGAGAUGUCCUGUUGCCUGAGGUUGCCCUGUCCAAUAUGGUAGCCACCAGCAACAGGUAGCUAUUUAGAGUAAUUAAAAUUAUAUUAAAAAUACAGUUUCCUUGUCACUUAACCAUGUUUCAAGUGCUCAGUAUUUAACCACAUGUGGCUAGUGGCUUCCAUAAAGGAAGGCAAAAAUAGAGAACAUUUACGUCGCGGCAGAAAGCUACUAGAUUCUUUUGGCCAAGGCAUAAACUCUUUCUCAUAGGAGAAAGGGGAUGCAGAUCUUGCUAAGAGUGAUGGAUUUCUGGGUUCAGCCUACAUGAGUCAUCUUCCAUACCACCCCUGGACAUGCUUUCCUUGGCUGCCAAUUUUCUAUUUUAUAAAUUUCAGGGAAGAGAGGUUAUGAUCAUUAAAAACAUUCAUGACAAUGAUCCCACUUUAGAGAAAACAACAGCAACAAGCAAAGAAGAUGGUGUGGAGAUCCACACAUUCUACAUCUUUUAAUUGGUGCCCAUUAAAUAACAAAGGGAAAAAGUACCCUCAGACCACAACUCUCCACCUUGUUUGGAGGCCAAGAACCCAGUAGGGAGAAGGCUGAAGGUUGGGUUCUCCACUCAUCCUGGCUCUUAGACCACGGAACUCACAUUUGGGUUCUAAUGGAAUGGUGACUGGAAGCAUAUUCUCUGAUAGGAGGUUUUUAAAAGUUCCAUGCCAUCAGCCAGGCAGCGUCUGUCACUUAAAAUGACUGGCCAGUUGCACAUUUAAAAGCAAAGAUAAAAUUGCUAAUUUAUACUUACUGAAUAAAUGUUAUCAGUAUCCAGGAAGGUACCUACCCUAAUAACAAGUUGUAGUUUUAUUUUCAUGGUGGUGGUGAAGCUGCCAGGAAAACCAAAGUAUCAGUUCUUUAAUUACAUGUGUUUAGUAUUCACUUAAUACUAAAAUUUCUCUUGCUCCCUUAGAACGAAGAGCUCUAACUUGUUCACUGCUGUACCCUUAGCACCUAGAACAGUCCCUGGCCUACAGUAGGCACUUAGAAAGUAUUUGUUGAAAGUUGAAUGACUGUUGUAUUUUAUUUUAUUUUUUUAAAGAAACGACUCAGAGUUUUUUUUAUCCUCCCCCAACCCCCAACCCCUGGUAUUAAAAUAAAUCUUCUUCAACUGCUAUCACUAAUCGCCAGGAUUCCCUCCUAGCCAAUUAUGCUUGGACUCAACCUCUACCUCCCACUCCACAUUCCAAAGUUUCUAUUUCUUUCCAUUCCAGAAGGGCAACUCCACAACAGGAGUGAGGGAGAGGACCUGGACUCCUCCUCAGAGUCCAAUAACCCUCCUAACCCUGCUCCCCCCACCCAUGGACUUUUUAGAUCCAUGAAAAUAGAAUCUGUCAAGCUACCAUGAAAUAGCAUCAGAGGGCAGGAUCAGCCUUUCAUAGGCAUAUAAUAUCUGUAAAUACUGAACAAAGAUUAUUAAAAGCCUAAGUUUUGUGUCCAGUGAAAUAGAUGCAGGCAAGUAUUCUGAUUGUUCUGAACACAUUAGAGAUGAGUGCUACACAGAACGAAGGUAAACUUUGUAAAUUCAUAUGUCAUAACACUUUGUUCCACAAAAAACUAUCUUAUUUUUUAUACUCCAUACUGAUACAGCCAAAUAAUGUGGCUCUUGUUUUUUAAAGAUGCUAGCAAUAUGUUUAAACAUGUCUUCACUGUAGUAAAAAUAUCAUAUUUUAUAAAAAAUACAUAUGCAUUUAAUGGGAUAUUCCUUAUAGUCAAAAUCUUGAUGUCAUCCUCCUAAUCUGGCUAAAAAUGCAUCCGUAAAAUGAAAGAAAGGAAUAUUUUGCCAUUCCCUAAACAACAGUUGUUUGAAGCUUUUGUAAUUGCUGGUUACGGGAAUUUACCAAUAACAGGAAUGAAUUUGGAUUUUCUUUUGCCGGAAUCAAAUGGACAAUGUCACAAUUAGCUAAAUAAUGUUGAGGCUAAAUGAAGUUUGAGUUUUAGGCAUAUCCUUUACAGAAUAUAAACAGGAGUCUAAAAGUUCAUUCUGAACACAGGCUGUUUCUUUCUGCCAAAACAAGAUUAAUAGUCAGUACCCUACCAACGAGAUCCUAUCACUGAAGUAGAUUAUCUGCUAGUCAAAUGGGUUCCUAACAGCACCUCCCUCAUAGAUUAAAACCAGGUUAAUGUGAUGUGUAUUUGCUUACUUUAGCUUGUUACACAGUAAACACACAGCAAACGUUAGCUAUUGUUAUCUUCGUUUCCUUUGGAGAAGUUUUCUUAUUUCUCACCUUAUUAAAAAUAAAGUCUAACUCAUAUAGGGACCCUCCUUACCUUGGUCCUUUCACCCAUGAAUACCAUAAUAACCUACACUGCAAAAAGGAGGCUCAGGAGGAGGAUGAGGUAUCAAUAGGCCUCUGGGUCAUUUCUAUGAUUUAGAUUUUUUUGAAAAGGGUAGGCUCUCUUGAAAUUUCCGAGGUCGUUGCUGUAGUAUUUUAUUUUCCUUUAAUAAGAAAUGCUUUCUGAAAUGUAUUGCAGUGAACAAAUAACAAAAUUGACAAAUGCCGUAAGCCUUUUACAGUUAUCUGAACACACAGAAUAAAGUGUAAUCAAAUUUAUGCACAUUAGGUUUGUUUUGUCCUGUACCUAGCUGUCUCUUAUGUGUUCAGAACCAUUUCUUCCAAUCACCUUUUUUUGUCUUCUGGCUAUAUUUUAUCAUUAUCUACAAAUUUAAUAAACGGAGCAUGCA